rnacentral:ncRNA from 1 species
ACUGUUCCCUGGGAUUGGCUUUAGGCCUUUCUUGCGUAGCUUAGGUGGAAGGCAAAGAAGGCCUCCUUUCGGGGGGGGGGGGGGCGAGCCAUCAGUGAGAUACCACUCUAGAAGAGCUAGAAUUCUAACCUUGUGUCAGGACCUACGGGCCAAAGGACAGUCUCAGGUAGACAGU